rnacentral:rRNA from 1 species
GAUGAACGCUGGCGGCGUGCCUAAUACAUGCAAGUCGAGCGAACGGACGAGAAGCUUGCUUUUCUGAUGUUAGCGGCGGACGGGUGAGUAACACGUGGAUAACCUACCUAUAAGACUGGGAUAACUUCGGGAAACCGGAGCUAAUACCGGAUAAUAUUUUGAACCGCAUGGUUCAAAAGUGAAAGACGGUCUUGCUGUCACUUAUAGAUGGAUCCGCGCUGCAUUAGCUAGUUGGUAAGGUAACGGCUUACCAAGGCAACGGUGCAUAGCCGACCUGAGAGGGUGAUCGGCCACACUGGAACUGAGACACGGUCCAGACUCCUACGGGAGGCAGCAGUAGGGAAUCUUCCGCAAUGGGCGAAAGCCUGACGGAGCAACGCCGCGUGAGUGAUGAAGGUCUUCGGAUCGUAAAACUCUGUUAUUAGGGAAGAACAUAUGUGUAAGUAACUGUGCACAUCUUGACGGUACCUAAUCAGAGAGCCACGGCUAACUACGUG